rnacentral:rRNA from 1 species
CCUACGGGAGGCAGCAGUGAGGAAUUUUCCGCAAUGGGCGAAAGCCUGACGGAGCAAUGCCGCGUGGAGGAGGAAGGCCUGUGGGUCGUAAACUCCUUUUCUCAGAGAAGAAGUUCUGACGGUAUCUGAGGAAUAAGCAUCGGCUAACUCUGUGCCAGCAGCCGCGGUAAUACAGGGGAUGCAAGCGUUAUCCGGAAUUAUUGGGCGUAAAGCGUCCUGAGGUGGCUUACCCAGUCGACUGUGAAAGCUCAAGGCUUAACCUUGAAACGGCAGUCGAAACUUGUAAGCUUGAGUACGGUAGGGGCAGAGGGAAUUCCCGGAGGAGAGGUGAAAUUCGUAGAUAUCGGGAGGAAGGCCAAAGGCGAAAGCACUCUGCUGGGCCGAUUACUGACACUGACAGACGAAAGCUAGGGGAGCGAAAGGGAUUAGAUACCCCGUGUAGUCCUAGCCGUAAACGAUGGAUACUAAGUGUUAGCGCGACUCAAACGUGCAGUGCUGCAGCUAACGCGGUAAGUAUCCCGCCUGGGGAGUAUGCCCGACAAGGGUUGAAACGUCAAAGUAGUAGUGGACGUGAGACGNGCGACGACGCACGAGGUAGGAG